rnacentral:rRNA from 1 species
GAUGAACGCUGGCGGCGUGCCUAAUACAUGCAAGUCGAGCGAACGGACGAGAAGCUUGCUUCUCUGAUGUUAGCGGCGGACGGGUGAGUAACACGUGGAUAACCUACCUAUAAGACUGGGAUAACUUCGGGAGACCGGAGCUAAUACCGGAUAAUAUUUUGAACCGCAUGGUUCAAAAGUGAAAGACGGUCUUGCUGUCACUUAUAGAUGGAUCCGCGCUGCAUUAGCUAGUUGGUAAGGUAACGGCUUACCAAGGCAACGAUGCAUAGCCGACCUGAGAGGGUGAUCGGCCACACUGGAACUGAGACACGGUCCAGACUCCUACGGGAGGCAGCAGUAGGGAAUCUUCCGCAAUGGGCGAAAGCCUGACGGAGCAACGCCGCGUGAGUGAUGAAGGUCUUCGGAUCGUAAAACUCUGUUAUUAGGGAAGAACAUAUGUGUAAGUAACUGUGCACAUCUUGACGGUACCUAAUCAGAAAGCCACGGCUAGCUACGUG